UUUACUAACUUUAUUCGUAUCUGGCCGUCUGCAGUGUGAGUGGGAGAGUCGGGUAGAUAGUGUGUCCUCAUGGACACUUUGACAGACGUGUCUGCGGGCUCCUAGGUAGAUGGCGGAGAAGAUCUCUCAGGCACUUCCGGGUUUGGUGUUGGGCAUUAUUGUACGGGCAUGAUGAAACUUGAAGAAGACGUUCUUUGUUUAAAUGACCUGUGAUGGAAAAAUCGAGUACUGGCCAGCCGAUGGGCCUGUAAUGAGAAGAGAGUGGACCCUGGAUUAGCUGUCCAGACCUGGCAGAUGAGCAGAAGCAGAUUGGACUGGACGGGAUUGUGAAAAACAAAUUUCAGGAAUCCAGAGACUGUGAGAGUGCUGCUUUUUUCAGGGCCAGCAAAUUUCCUCAGAUAUUACGGGGCUUCUGUUUGGAAACCAGCCUCUUUAAUCCUGCUAUGAUGCCAAGAGGUAGCCCAGCAACUCACACCUUGCCUUGCUCUGAGCCACUUUCUUGUGUGGCCAUCUCUGAUGCCUUAUUCCAAAGCUGAUGUGGCUCAGCACCAAGUUCCGGCACCAAGAGGGUGCUUGUUACCUGGCAGUGCUGAAAAGGUCUCCUCUCUUUCACUGUCUGUGUAAAGUUACUUCUUUUCGGGGCAGUGGUUAAUUUGUUGAAAAUCUGCAGAAGAGUUUUCACAGUUGGGGUGGGGGGAAACCCUAAAUAGAAAUAUGAACUCUUCUAAGGUGCAUUCCAAGACACUUCUAAGCUCUAGUUUCAUGGAAACCUCGGGCUCCUCUGUUGCUUUAUUAGCACGGGUUUUAUCCAGAAGGUGGCAUCACAGAACCUGAAUUUCAUUCACCAAAGGUUAAAAGAAAAUCCACAUCUCUUUGCGACUGGAAACUAAAGUGUGUAGUCUUUAGAGGGCAUGUUUAAAGAUGUUUUGUUCAUCCCUCUAAUCGGUGAAAUUACUUUAAAGCUGUGAAAGAUGGGGGUCAUGAUAGCUUCCUACUCAGUGAAAACCUGAAGCCUGAGACACUUAGAAAAACCUGUCCUAAGCCCAUGUUCCUUCCCCAGGUGACAUGACGAUGAUCAAAACUGGCUUAUUUCCUAGUCAAGACAAUUGUGAAACUUAAGAAUAACCAUGAGGCCUGCUUCCCCUUCCACACACACUUGUUCCCACUGCCCAUCAAAGUCAUCUUGGAUGACUUCAUUGGAGGCAGGGGUCAAGAAAACCUAAAUGGAUGGUUUAAGAGGUCAAUCUGUGGUGUAUUGGCACUUCAAAAUAAGUCACAAGGUUGAGGAUUUCAAGAAGGUGACUCUCCAGUUGGUGACAGUCUCACAAAUCAGGGCUCUCGUGGAAAGAGAAGGUAAUCGUCUUCUGAAUUUGAGAUGGAAUCUGGCUUGCUGGUUCUUUCCCAGGAAUUCAUUCCUAGGCCAGCUAUGUCACUUAGCCUCAUGAGACAGUACCUCAGUGAAUGUGUACUCACUUGUGGGAAUAUUAAUGUUCUAUAAAUUCUUGGUGUGAGGUAUUCCUUUUGAUACAUACCACAAGUGGGAUUGCUGAACUAGAUGGUAGUUCUCAUUUUCAUUUUUUGAGGGGCUUUCAUACUGUUUUCCAUAGUAGCUGUACCAAUUGAAUCUUGAACUAAAUGAGUUUCAUGAGUGGUUCUCAGGCCACUUUUGAUUGUCGGUUCUUUUCAGGAGAAGUACUGCAGAGAUUAGAGGCUCAAAGUGGGAAGGAGUUCCCUGAUCAGGAAAGAUGGAAUGACUGA